rnacentral:rRNA from 1 species
UACGUAGGGUGCGAGCGUUGUCCGGAUUUAUUGGGCGUAAAGAGUUCGUAGGCGGUUCGUUAAGUCUGAUGUUAAAGAUCGGGGCCCAACCCUGAGAGUGCAUUGGAUACUGGCGAACUGGAGUGCAGUAGAGGCGAGUGGAAUUCCCAGUGUAGCGGUGAAAUGCGUAGAUAUUGGGAAGAACACCGGUGGCGUAGGCGACUUGCUGGGCUGUAACUGACGCUGAGGAACGAAAGCCAGGGGAGCGAAUGGG